CCUACGGGAGGCAGCAGUAGGGAAUAUUGCUCAAUGGGGGAAACCCUGAAGCAGCAACGCCGCGUGGAGGAUGAAGGUUUUCGGAGUGUAAACUCCUUUUGUUAGAGAAGAUAAUGACGGUAUCUAACGAAUAAGCACCGGCUAACUCCGUGCCAGCAGCCGCGGUAAUACGGAUGGUGCAAGCGUUACUCGGAAUCACUGGGCGUAAAGAGCGCGUAGGCGGGAUAGCAAGUCAGAUGUGAAAUCCUAUGGCUUAACCAUAGAACUGCAUUUGAAACUGUUAUUCUAGAGUAUGGGAGAGGUAGGUGGAAUUCUUGGUGUAGGGGUAAAAUCCGUAGAGAUCAAGAGGAAUACUCAUUGCGAAGGCGACCUGCUAGACCAUAACUGACGCUGAUGCGCGAAAGCGUGGGGAGCAAACAGGAUUAGAUACCCCAGUAGUC
rnacentral:rRNA from 1 species